ensembl:lncRNA
AUUAGAUUAAAACCACGAGAAUCAACCUUCAAACCUCCACAUAAUUGAGAGAAGUAAUUCCUCGUGACGUCAGUAGGACAAAUAUGACUUGUCCUUAGUGCUAAACACUCACUGCGCCAUAUUGUUACUUACUGAAUAAUGCACAUUGCAAUCUGGCUAACACAUUGUAACUUUUUUAAAUGUUGUAGGUUUGGUGUCAGAUUAAGAGGCUACAUCUAGUUUGAAAGUGAAGCACCAACUAUACAGCUUAUCUCUCAGACCGUUGUGCCACAACAAUUAUGUUGGAGGAGAUUGCAGGAGGGUAACCUGGUCCCAUCUGGAGCUUAUCAGAGCCUGACCCGGUUUUGGCGUGCUACGUUCGCGCGCCGCUCCUUUGGGACCUGUUCCCUCCUCGUUGCUGACAAAGAGAAGAAGGCCACAGCCGUUCUAUCCCAGCUCAGACCCACAUACCUCGACUCAACCCGAGCCCAACAUCGCCGGAUCCUUCCUCACGCUGCCCGCUCCCAAGAAGUUGCUUACAUUACACUUCCUCCCUCCCUCUCUCAUUGUAGGUCACUUGGUCUACCUUCCUCCAUUUUGGAAAAGGGCUUGCGGGGAUAUUUUGCCCUACAAAAAAAAUAAUUAUCUUAUCUCCCUAAUUCCCAAUUAUUAUGCACAGGCUUAUUUAAGAAAAAGGAUUAGAUUUUCUCUCUUUUUUUUUUUUUUGUUGGCUGCACCAACAUGCAGGGGGAUGGAUUUGACUGUGAC